UACGUAGGGGGGCAAGCGUUGUCCGGAAUCAUUGGGCGUAAAGAGCGUGUAGGCGGCUCGGUAAGUCCGCUGUGAAAGUCAAAGGCUCAACCUUUGAAAGCCGAUGGAUACUGUGGAGCUAGAGUACGGAAGAGGCGAGUGGAAUUCCUGGUGUAGCGGUGGAAUGCGCAGAUAUCAGGAGGAACACCAAUAGCGAAGGCAGCUCGCUGGGACGUUACUGACACUGAGGCGCGAAAGCGUGGGGGAGCGAACAGG
rnacentral:rRNA from 1 species